rnacentral:lncRNA from 1 species
AAAUAAGAUGGGAGUUUUAAAUUCAAAAGUUAAGAGAGAGAGUUUAUUUUGAACUUGAAAAUUUUUGUGAAAGUCCUUCACGUUAAGUCUUAUGAAAGUAUUAAACUUCAAACCUCUUUUUCGUGGCUUAAAAAUGACGAGACUCGGUGCAUCUCUGUUGAAGUUAUUGUCAGUCAAUUUGGAAUCGGAUUUCCUACAAACGCAAAUGAAAGGAACUGAUGAUGAAAAAUUACAGCCCGAGACUUCAUUCCAUCCAAUCCCAAGACUUGCUCGUAAGACUUGCAUUCAAUGUUUUCUUUUUAUUCUGUUGCAGGUGAGUUGUUGGUCUACCAUUACGAAUCCGAAUCAACAAGGAGGUCGUAAAAAAUACCCGUAAGCGUAUUCUGUCGCACUUGUUGAUUGCCUGCACGAAUGGCAUGUUGUAGUGGAUAAAUUGCUACCAGCACGUUUUACACGAUGUCGUUCGCGAAUUUAACCGAGGGUGUCGGGUCUAAACCAGAAAUAUAGUUUUUGAUGAUUGUGGUGGAUGGCUUCGAAGAAGGACCAGUAGACAAAACCGAUGAAGGCCGCGGUCUGAUCAGACUAAAUCGGGAGCAGCCAACUACGCCAGGCGAAACGGUGGCAGAACAGAGUCUGGUAACCAGAAACGAGCAUGUACAUGGCGAAAAACCUCCCAAAAAAGGUGCUGCGCACUACGUAUCGACGAUCUACCAUGCUCUAAAGGGACAUAAAAAAGGGAAGACGGAUAAGGAUAAAGCCUCAAAGAAAGGGAGAAUGAGUAAAAUGAUCUCGGCGGUGGUGUCAUAUGCAAAGAACCGUAAGGGAAACAAGGAUCAUAAUAAGGAACAUCAUAAGGAACAUCAUAAGGACCAUAAAGGACAUCCGGAAGGGAAUCAUGCAGAAACUCAAGAAGAGCAGGCGCCACCACCUGAGGCAUAAUUCCUUAUGUCAUACCUCUUUAAGUCAAUAAUGAAAAGCCACGAAUGCACUGCAUUAAACAUUAUUUACAAUGAUACUUGAUUUGAUCUCUUUUUCUUCUCUGUUAUUUCCUUCC